rnacentral:tRNA from 1 species
CAUUAGAUGACUGAAAGUAAGUAAUGGUCUCUUAAACCAAUAAAUAGUAGGUUAACGACUACUUCUAAUGA